UAUUAAGCGGAGGAAAAGAAACUAACUAGGAUUCCCUUAGUAGCGGCGAGCGAACAGGGAAAAGCCCAGCACCGAAUCCCGCGAUCUUAAUCGGUCGCCGGGAAAUGUGGUGUUAAGAAGGAUCUGUUAUUCCGUAAUUGCCUGACGCGUCCAAGUCCAUCUUGAACGGGGCCACUGCCCAUAGAGGGUGCCAGGCCCGUAGAGACCGUUAACAAUUGCGGAAAGAUCUCUUCUAAGAGUCGGGUUGCUUGAGAGUGCAGCCCUAAGUGGGUGGUAAACUCCAUCUAAGGCUAAAUAUAACCACGAGACCGAUAGCGAACAAGUACCGUGAGGGAAAGUUGAAAAGAACUUUGAAGAGAGAGUUCAAUAGUACGUGAAACCGUUCAGGGGUAAACCUGAGAAACCCGAAAGGUCGAAAGAAGAGAUUCAUUCGCGUUUCGUUAGCUGAAAUCGUGCGAUAGCGCGACAAACGUCGGUUCGCCGUCGUUUGCGCCGUUCGUUCGAUUACGUCGGCAUUGAACGCGUGCACUUCUCUUCAAGUAGGACGUCGCGAUCCGUUGGGCGUCGGUCUACGGGCCAAUGCGUAGCCCGAGAGCGCGGUUUUACCGUCGUUUUCGGACGCUUGGUUGCCGACCGGCUCGCUCGACGGUAUACGAAAGGCGCGGGGCCGCGAAUUAAAUUCGCGUCCGACUCGCGACAAGCGCGUUCGCAGCAUCGUUGAUCGGACUUGUGUGCCGGUCGCGAUCUCGGACGGCUGUUGGUCGCGAUGUUCUCGGACAGACCUCGAUUAAUUUAAACGCCAAUCGGCGACGCUAUAGCUUUGGGUACUUUCAGGACCCGUCUUGAAACACGGACCAAGGAGUCUAGCAUGUGCGCGAGUCAUUGGGAUUUUAACUAAACCUAAAGGCGUAAUGAAAGUAAAGAUUCGUUUUGCGCGAAUCAAGGGAAGAUGAGCGAAACGUUUUGCGACGUCCGUUCCGCAUUCCCGGGGCGUCUCGUUCUCAUUGCGAGAAGAGGCGCACCAAGAGCGUACACGCUGGGACCCGAAAGAUGGUGAACUAUGCCUGGUCAGGACGAAGUCAGGGGAAACCCUGAUGGAGGUCCGUAGCGAUUCUGACGUGCAAAUCGAUCGUCGGAACUGGGUAUAGGGGCGAAAGACUAAUCGAACCAUCUAGUAGCUGGUUCCCUCCGAAGUUUCCCUCAGGAUAGCUGGCGCUCGUAUCAUAAUUUGAACGAGUCUCAUCCGGUAAAGCGAAUGAUUAGAGGCAUUGGGGUCGAAACGACCUCAACCUAUUCUCAAACUUUAAAUGGGUGAGAUCUCCGGCUUGCUCGAAUUGUGAAGCCGCGAGAUUUUUGGAUCAGAGUGCCAAGUGGGCCAUUUUUGGUAAGCAGAACUGGCGCUGUGGGAUGAACCAAACGUCGAGUUAAAGCGCCUAAAUCGACGCUUAUGGGACACCAUGAAAGGCGUUGGUAACUUAAGACAGCAGGACGGUGGCCAUGGAAGUCGGAAUCCGCCAAGGAGUGUGUAACAACUCACCUGCCGAAGUUACUAGCCCUGAAAAUGGAUGGCGCUGAAGCGUCGUGCUUAUACUCGACCGUCAGCGGCAUGUGCGGUAAAAUGUUUUUUUUAACAUUUUACCAUGAAGCCCUGACGAGUAGGAGGGUCGCGGCGGUGUGCGCAGAAGGGUUGGCCGUGAGGCCGCCUGGAGCCGCCGUCGGUGCAGAUCUUGGUGGUAGUAGCAAAUACUCCAGCGAGGCCCUGGAGGACUGAUGUGGAGAAGGGUUUCGUGUGAACAGCCGUUGCACACGAGUCAGUCGAUCCUAAGCCCUAGGCGAAAGCCGAGGUCGAUGUGGCGUUGGAUUAAUUUUAAAAAAAUGUAAAAUUUGUUUUGGUGCAAAAGUGAUGCAAAACUAAAACUUAAAAUUUUGCUUGAGCAUUUUAUUAAUAACGUAAACCGACGCCCUUCGGAUGCGAAAGGGAAUCCGGUUCCUAUUCCGGAACCCGGCAGCGGAACCGUCUUAAAAUCGGGCCCUCGCAAGAGAGUUCGUCGGGGCAACCCAAAAUGACCCGGAGACGCCGUCGGGAGAUCGGGGAAGAGUUUUCUUUUCUGCAUGAGCGUUCGAGUUCCAUGGAAUCCUCUAGCAGGGAGAUAUGGUUUGGAACGCGAAGAGCACCGCAGUUGCGGCGGUGUCCCGAUCUUCCCCUCGGACCUUGAAAAUCCGGGAGAGGGCCACGUGGAGGCGUCGCGCCGGCUCGUACCCAUAUCCGCAGCAGGUCUCCAAGGU
rnacentral:rRNA from 1 species